CUCUUGCGCAUGUGCAGCAUCUCCCCUCCACAUGACUCAAGUUGAAUGCAGUCAGAGGCUAUAAAGGUGCUGCAGAUGGCAGUACCCCCAGUUCUCUCUUUGCUGAAGCCAUGACUACACGUUUCAGCACCCAACAGGUUGUAGAUCUGAUUUUUUUUUUUUCAGAUGUUCAUAAGGAACAAUAGAACAGUGAUUUAGAAGAGGAGGAGAGCAUGAUGCAUCAUCUUCAGAUGAAGAAGUAAUCCCCCAAGAUGAAGGAGAGACAUUUUUGCCAAAGAACAGGAAAGUAACGUGAUCCUUUUCACCAUAUGACAACCAGGGCAGGAUGGCAGCACAUGUCAUAAGGAUGACCCCAGGGGCCAAAAGACAUGCAGGACAUCUCAACAUUCUACAUGUUCAUCACACCAGCCAUCAAAAAAAAUCAUCCAGGAAAUUACAAAUUUGAAGGGUUUCUGUAAAUAUGGAGACAACUGGAAAAGGAUGGAUGAGGUCAACCUGCAUAAAUACAUAGGGCUGCUAAUCUUAGCGGGUGUGUAUAGGUCCCAAGAAAUCUGUGAUAACUGUGAGUCAAGACCUGUAACACAUGUGAGAGACAAACUGGCAGCCAUAAGAGAAGUCUGUGAGAAGUGGGUGGAGAGUUUGCCAUACCUCUACAACCCUGGGCCUGAAGUAACAGUGGAUGAGCAACUGGUUCCAUUCAGAGGUAAAUUAUUAUUUCCAUACCUGUAAUGUAAGUGAUUUUUACUAGUAAUUAUUAUUAUGUAUUGCUGUAAUAUCAUUGAUUUAUAUGAUUAAGUGAUUACCAUGUGGGUUGGGGCAAUGGAUCAAAAAUGGGAGUAGAUUAGUAUGUUAUAGUUGAAUUCCUUAUUGUGCAGUAUAUAAGAAUAUAUCACUAUGUUUCCC
ensembl:lncRNA